UUUGGUAGCUUUAGCGGAGGAGGUACACCCAGUCCCAUCCCGAACCUGGUAGUUAAGCCCUCCAGCCCCGAUGGUAGUUGGGACGUAGGUCCCUGCGAGAGUAGGACGCCGCCAACA
rnacentral:rRNA from 1 species